rnacentral:sRNA from 1 species
UCUGAAUGACGACAAGCGAGAUGGCCGUCUGUAUCAACGUCGUGUAGAACGAGCCAUGGAUCCAAUAGGUCGCCACUGCGAACACCAGCAAGGCGCAGAUCAUGCUGACGAAAACGCGGGGCGCGUACAUGUCUCUCUCCUCGCCUGAUGCUAUCCCAGUUUGCGGAAUACAAU